GACGAACGCUGGCGGCGUGCUUAACACAUGCAAGUCGAACGAAGAGCGAUGGAAGCUUGCUUCUAUCAAUCUUAGUGGCGAACGGGUGAGUAACGCGUAAUCAACCUGCCCUUCAGAGGGGGACAACAGUUGGAAACGACUGCUAAUACCGCAUACGAUCUAAUCUCGGCAUCGAGGAUAGAUGAAAGGUGGCCUCUACAUGUAAGCUAUCACUGAAGGAGGGGAUUGCGUCUGAUCAGCUAGUUGGAGGGGUAACGGCCCACCAAGGCGAUGAUCAGUAGCCGGUCUGAGAGGAUGAACGGCCACAUUGGGACUGAGACACGGCCCAGACUCCUACGGGAGGCAGCAGUGGGGAAUCUUCCGCAAUGGACGAAAGUCUGACGGAGCAACGCCGCGUGAGUGAUGACGGCCUUCGGGUUGUAAAGCUCUGUUAAUCGGGACGAAAGGCCUUCUUGCGAAUAGUGAGAAGGAUUGACGGUACCGGAAUAGAAAGCCACGGCUAACUACGUG
rnacentral:rRNA from 1 species